UACGAAGGGUGCAAGCGUUACUCGGAAUUACUGGGCGUAAAGCGUGCGUAGGUGGUUUGUUAAGUCUGAUGUGAAAGCCCUGGGCUCAACCUGGGAAUUGCAUUGGAUACUGGCAGGCUAGAGUGCGGUAGAGGAUGGCGGAAUUCCUGGUGUAGCGGUGAAAUGCGCAGAUAUCAGGAGGAACACCGAUGGCGAAGGCAGGUCCCUGGGCCACUACUGACGCUGAGAAGCGAAAGCAUGGGGAGCGAACAGG
rnacentral:rRNA from 1 species